AAAAAUUAAUCGAAUUGUUCCAGCAGCUAGUGUUGAUCCAGUGACUUGGCAUGCUAUAUAAGCUGGAACCUGUUUCCAGGGAAAUCUCUUGCAGGUGGCAAAGGCAAGAGUGACAGCCGGGUUGAAAUGGGCACCAGAGAUGUGACCAACAGAGUAAACCAAGACCAUCACCGCCAAUCCCCAAACUAUUGAUAUUCCUGGAAGUGUCACCACCUUGUCGUAGUUCAAAUUUGCCGCCACCGAUGUACAUCCGGCAAAUAUCAAGAAGUAAGUGCCAACCAUCUCAGCUAUCAACUUUUGAAUGAAAGGUACGGAGAUGCUUGAGAUUGAAUCUUCUUUAGUUUUGGAGGCACAAGGAGGAGGCUUAUUACCAGCUGGAGCAGGAUUACAAGGAUUAUCAUCCUUAACAUCCAAUACAACUCCAUGCCUGCCAUUAGCUACUGAGAUCUCAGCCUGAGCCAUACUAGUUUCUUCUUGCAAAGUAAAAGACAAUCUGAGAAUGAGAAGCGAGUAAAUAAGGGAGGCAAAGAUGUGAAUAAAGAAGAAAGAAAUUCCUUCUUUUCUUUUUCCCUAUGUUUGCUGGUUCUGGUUGCUUAGUUGGCUAGCUUUGUUGCCCACCUAGGGGUUACGCAAG
rnacentral:misc_RNA from 1 species